CAUCCUUCUGUAAGAACCAACACAGGACAAAAGAUCAAUCUCUAGACUUGCGGAGAGAUCCUGGAGCUACGUGAGGCGUGUACAAAAGUACGCUUGUGAAAGCAGAGUGUUCACACUGAACAAGCAUCGAGGGGUUCUUCUUCUUUUGCUCUUGCUACUGUUUACUGGCGCAUGUCCAUCAUCUACAGUUGAAAGAUGUGAAAUGUCAAAGUGGUGCGAAUCUGACUCUAUUCCUUUUCAUGAAAGACGUGGCGUCAUAGAACUCCGGACGGGCACAAACUGAAAAUAUUAAUUUCUCCUUUGUGAACAAUUUUCUAAUAUUUGGUCCUUCUGUGAAUUAGAAAGGAACCCAAUCUGUACCUCCCUACCCAGCCAGCAAGGCCAAGUGGGCUCCUUAUGGUUUAAAAGGGGGAAGAAAAUGUGUGCCACAAGUGGAUUUGUCUGCAGUUUCCAUGGUGGUUCCACCUGUGUUUGCCCACAUUGGCUUAAGUGGGCACUCAGUAGGCUGGUCGACAGCGUGGCGAGCGCUGCCACCCAAGGGCUAACAAAGCUAGCAGGGUCACCGCCCACGAGCUGACAGAGCUAGCAGGGUUCUUGCCCAGGGGCCAGCAGAGCUAGCAGGGUUGAUGCCCAGACUUCCAGUCCCUGGGCAGUUGAGCCAAUGUGGGCAAACACAGAUGGCACCACCAUGGAAACUGUGGACAAACCCAAUUGGGGCCCACAUUUCUUUCCCACUUUCAAGCCAUAUGGGGGACCCUUGACCUUGCUGGCAGUGGCUGGGUAUCACAUCAGAGUCCUUGAUGGGUCAAAAUGUAACUUUCAACGCAUGUUUUGCACAUAGAGCCUGAAAAUGGUUGUAGAAACUGUAGCUACUUGUCAAAACGUGCAUCAACGUAGAUUUUCACCAGAAGUGGUUGCUUGAACGUGUGUUGCCGUGUGAACGUAGCUUCAGGAUCUAACAGAAGUUUGUUGUCCCAACAUUCCGCUUCACCUCCACACCAGCAUGUCGAGGUUUAUCCACCAACAACAUACAUAAUCCAGACUGCAGGAUGGCAGUGGAGCUUCUGAUGUUUAGCAACAAUAAGUUGAAUAAUAAUCCAAGGAUCUUAUUUCCUCUUCUGUGAUGAGAACGCCAUGUUCUAAACCACAAAUGUUUUAUUAUUUCACCACAUUUCUAAAUCUGAGUUUUUACAACAGACUUUUUUUAUCAAACGUUGACAGAGAUCUUAAUCAAGUCGUUGUUUGCUAUCACUUUUUAAAAGUAUCUGCAAAUUCUUUCCAGAGUGUUUGGAGACCUUUAAUCACAGGCCUUACUGGAGUCAAGUGAAGACACCUGCAGCAGCUGCACCUGAUGUCAGAUGACGCCUCCUGAGCCGCUGGUUUCAGCUGAAGUCACGGAGCUCUAUUGUUGAGAAGACGCUCAGGAGUCUGAAGACUGCGGCUCGACCGGUUUGGCUGUGGAGCGCUGAUCGUCAUUCCCAAGAGGGUUUCCAUUCGGACGGUUUCCAAAACUUACUUCUGAUCUGGAGCUGCGACGGGCUCCACCGUUGACUCUGUGGUGAAACUGGGAGUUUCCGUGCAGACGGACGUCCAUGUUCAGGUGGGGGUCAAAGGCCAG